CACCCAGUUUAGGGGACCUUGGUACAGGCAGGCCGGGGAUUCCCCUCUUUAACACCCGGCCCAUCCCGCUCACAGCGACGGGCCACGUUUUCGGGAAUCUCGGUACAGGCAGGCCGGGAAUUCCCUCUUUAACACCGGGCUC
rnacentral:sRNA from 3 species